rnacentral:rRNA from 1 species
CGAGGAAUAUUGCACAAUGGGCGCAAGCCUGAUGCAGUAACGCCGCGUGGGGGAUGAAGACCUUCGGGUUGUAAACCUCUUUUCAGUGGGACGAGUGAGGACGGUACCAUUGGAAUCAGUCUCGGCUAACUACGUGCCAGCAGCCGCGGUAAGACGUAGGAGGCGAGCGUUAUCCGGAUUCACUGGGCGUAAAGGGCAUGUAGGCGGACCGUCAAGUCCUUCAUGAAAGCCCCUGGCUCAACUGGGGGAGGCUGGAGGAGACUGGCGGACUAGAGGGCAGGAGAGGUCGGUGGAACUCCCGGUGUAGCGGUGGAAUGCGUAGAGAUCGGGAAGAACAUCAGUGGCGAAGGCGACCGACUGGGCUGCACCUGACGCUGAAAUGCGAAAGUGUGGGGAGCAAACGGGAUUAGAUACCCCCGUAGUCC